rnacentral:lncRNA from 1 species
AGGAGAGCAUCGUGGAGGAUGGCGCGUCUCCCACAGGCGCCGCCGGAAGCAUCGCCCUCGAAGUCCUAGACGAAGUCGGAGACGCCCUCGGCUCUCGAGGGGAUGCCCUACGCAGGAUGGAGGACCUGCUCAAGGCCUCCAGGGGCGCCUACGGCAGAUGAGAAUGCCUUAAUGUGACUGAGGUAUGUGCGGCGUGGAAUGGAUGCUUCGGGAAUAACCGUCCUCGAGUGCGUGGUUGUCAACAGAUAUACAUAUUUUGUAAUAAUAAACUCAUAAAUAAAGACUGAUAAAAAUAUAAAAA